GGUCGCGUGGCCCAAUGGGUGAGCAACUUCCUCCAUCACCUCCCAUCAAACACUCAACUAACAACCACUUCAGCAAGGCGUCUGACUACGAAUCAGGAGAUUGUGGGUUCGAUCCCCACCGUGACCU